rnacentral:rRNA from 1 species
AUUGAACGCUGGCGGCAUGCCUUACACAUGCAAGUCGAACGGCAGCACGGGAGCUUGCUCCUGGUGGCGAGUGGCGAACGGGUGAGUAAUACAUCGGAACGUACCCUGAAGUGGGGGAUAACGUAGCGAAAGUUACGCUAAUACCGCAUAUUCUGUGAGCAGGAAAGAGGGGGAUCGCAAGACCUCUUGCUUUAGGAGCGGCUGAUGUCGGAUUAGCUAGUUGGUGAGGUAAAGGCUCACCAAGGCGACGAUCCGUAGCGGGUCUGAGAGGAUGAUCCGCCACACUGGGACUGAGACACGGCCCAGACUCCUACGGGAGGCAGCAGUGGGGAAUUUUGGACAAUGGGCGCAAGCCUGAUCCAGCCAUGCCGCGUGAGUGAAGAAGGCCUCGGUUGGUUAAAGGUACGUA